AUGGCGACCGGCUCCGGCUCCGGCGCCGGGCGGGCGUCGGUGCGGCCCGUCGACAGGCCCCGGGGCAGCAGCACCGCGCGCUCCAAGUCGGUCGCCCCCCGCCGCCCGCCCUCCCCGGCCCGCGCGCGCCCCGCCGCCGACCACGACGCCACCGCCGACUUGUGCAGAGUAAGAGUUGCGCUAAGGAUCCGGCCGAAGAACGCGGAUGAAUUAGCUCAGGGCGCCGACUUCGAUACUUGUGUUGAGUUGCAGCCCGAGUGUAAGAAGCUGAAACUCAAGAAAAAUAACUGGGCUUCUGAGUCCUACCAGUUUGACGAGAUAUUUGGUGAAAAUUCUUCACAAAAGCGUAUAUACGAGGUCGUUGCAAAGCCUGUAGUCGAGAGUGUAUUAGAAGGAUAUAAUGGGACAGUGAUGGCUUACGGUCAAACAGGUACUGGCAAGACAUACACGGUUGGUCAGCUUGGAAAAGAAGACCCUUCUGAACGUGGUAUAAUGGUCAGAGCGUUGGAGCAUAUCCUUUCUAGCAUGUCUUUGGAGACCGAUAGCGUGGCUGUAUCAUAUCUCCAGCUAUACUUGGAAUCUGUUCAAGAUUUACUGGCCCCAGAGAAGACUAAUAUUCCAAUAGUCGAGGAUCCAAAAACUGGUGAAGUUUCAUUGCCAGGUGCUGCGAUAGUUGAAAUCAAAGAUCUUGAACAUGUUUUUCAACUUCUGCAAAUUGGUGAGACGAAUCGUCAUGCUGCUAAUACGAAGAUGAACACCGAGUCAUCUCGCAGUCACGCUAUUCUAAUUAUUCAUCUACAGAGAAGUUUAAAAAUAAAAGAAGAAACUACCGUCUCUAUCCCUAGUGACACAGAACAUACUCUUCCGGGUGACUUACCACUUGUUCUGAAAAGCAAACUCUUGAUUGUGGAUCUUGCUGGAUCAGAACGAAUUGAUAAGUCUGGAAGUGAAGGGCACAUGAUUGAAGAAGCCAAGUUCAUUAAUCUUUCGUUAUCUUCUCUGGGAAAGUGCAUUAAUGCACUAGCAGAAAAUAGUUCUCAUAUACCAACAAGAGAUUCGAAGCUUACAAGGAUGCUUCGUGAUUCAUUUGGAGGAACUGCUAGGACUUCCCUUGUUGUGACAAUAGGUCCAUCUGCAAGGCAUUACUCAGAAACUUCAAGCACAGUUUUGUUCGGCCAAAGAGCUAUGAAAGUAGUGAACACAAUAAGGUUAAAGGAGGAAGUUGAUUAUGAAACCCUAUAUAAGAACGUUGAAAAUGAGGUUGAUCAUCUCACAUCGGAGAUGGAGAGACAGCAAAAGCUCAGACACAGGGAGAAAAUGCAGUUGGAGAAAAGGUUGAAAGAAUCGGAGACAUUCUUGAAUGACUUAAGAAUGACCUCUAGCAUGCAAAUAGAGAAUCUGGAGAAGGAAAAGCAUCAAUUUGAAUAUGCAGUCAAAAGAUUGAUGCAGGAGCUAGAAGAGAAGGAAGGCCGAAAUAAUGUUUUAUCUGAGAAAAUUGUUCAUUUAGAAACAUCACUAAAUGAAAAGAAGCAACAACAGCUUGAGAGCUUUUCAACCACACAAAUUCUUGCUGAAACAACAAAAACCUAUGAGAAGAAAAUGGGAGAAUUACUGAGGGAGCUUGAGGAAGAAAGAUCUCGUUCUGCUAGUAUGAAGGGCCACUUUAAUGUUCUAGAACAGCAAUUGAGCGAUGCUCGGAGUUCUGCCCAGUUCCAGGAAAAUACGGCCCGUGAGUUGAAAAGAGAGCUAUCCAAAAUCACUCAAACAUUUACCAGUCAAGUACACUCACUAGAAGAAAAAAUCAGUCAACUUGUAUCAGAGAAGGAACUGAUAUAUGAAGAAUUGAAAUCUACACAAGCAAAGGUGCAAGAUGAAGCAAGCCAUAGGCAGAGCCUUGAGGCUGAAGUUCUAAGGUUGAAGCGAUCUAAGACUGAUAAUUGUGCUGAAGAGUCUAAAACAUUAUGUGGUAUGGUUAGAUCAGGAUCUGGAUUAGGUAGUGAGGCAUUUAUGCAUAAAUCAGGAAAUUUGAAAGAGACCCUAGCAAGUCAGAGAGGUACCAUUUCAAAGAUAUUUGAAGAAGUUGGUCUUCCAAAUGUCCUGGCUCUGCUGAAGUCUGAAGAGCUAGAGGUUCAGAUUCAUGCUGUCAAAGUGGUUGCUAAUCUUGCUGCUGAAGAUAUUAACCAGGAAAAAAUCGUCGAGGAAGGAGGGUUGGAUGCACUUCUGUCACUUCUGGAAACAUCAGAAAAUACCACAAUUCAUCGAGCCACUGCUGGUGCCAUUGCUAACUUGGCAAUGAAUGUUUCAAACCAGGCACUUAUAAUGAACAAAGGAGGAGCUCGACUAUUAGCAAAUAUUGCAUCCAAAACUGAUGAUCCUCAAACUAUGCGGAUGGUAGCUGGUGCAAUUGCCAACUUAUGUGGAAAUGAAAAGUGGCAUGCAAUGUUGAAACAAGAUGGUGGAAUAAAAGCGCUCCUGGGAAUGUUUCAAACUGGACAUACUGAUGUCAUAGCUCAGAUAGCACGAGGACUAGCGAACUUUGCAAAAUGUGAAUCCCGAGUAAUAAGCCAAGGUCACAAGAAAGGGAGAUCCCUUCUCAUUGAAGAUGGCGUCCUUAGUUGGAUCAUGGCCAAUUCAACCAUGUUUCCUCCUUCAACGCGAAGACAUAUCGAGCUAGCAUUCUGCCAUCUAGCUCAAAAUGUGGAAAACUCCCGUGAUAUCAUCAUAACUGGAGGGAUUAAGGAGCUCCUUCGCAUAUCAAGAGAGUCUUCAAGAGACGACGCUCGUAACCUGGCGAAAAAGGCACUAAAUUCGAACCCAGCUUUCUUAAAGGAGAUACAAUGA
rnacentral:rRNA from 1 species